UGGGGAAUAUUGCACAAUGGGCGCAAGCCUGAUGCAGCCAUGCCGCGUGUAUGAAGAAGGCCUUCGGGUUGUAAAGUACUUUCAGCGAGGAGGAAGGCGUUGUGGUUAAUAACCGCAGCGAUUGACGUUACUCGCAGAAGAAGCACCGGCUAACUCCGUGCCAGCAGCCGCGGUAAUACGGAGGGUGCAAGCGUUAAUCGGAAUUACUGGGUGUAAAGCGCACGCAGGCGGUCCGUCAAGUCGGAUGUGAAAUCCCCGGGCUCAACCUGGGAACUGCAUCCGAAACUGGCAGGCUAGAGUCUUGUAGAGGGGGGUAGAAUUCCAGGUGUAGCGGUGAAAUGCGUAGAGAUCUGGAGGAAUACCGGUGGCGAAGGCGGCCCCCUGGACAAAGACUGACGCUCAGGUGCGAAAGCGUGGGGAGCAAACA
rnacentral:rRNA from 1 species